CUGGGAACUCGGGAAGGGAGUCAUACUGCCAAGUGGGAUGGACACAAGGCUGAGACCAUCGUUCAAGCACCCUCCAUUGCCGUAGGUUAUAAGGAGCCCCUCAAGUGUGUUUCUCUUGUGUGCUGAAACUUUGUAAAGAGAAUUGAAGCUUUUUUUCUGAUUAAAUAACAAAAUUUUGUUUUGUGUUACACCGUCUUCCACCUCAGAGCAGAAUGUAUUGAUUUGUAAAAUGAAAUGAAGAAUUCAAGAUACACUUACAUAAAACAGCCAAUUUAUCUAGCUCAGUUGUGGCAUUGUCCAGCAAGCUUGCCUGAAGGUCAUCUGCUUAAGCAUGUGACAUUGCUUGACUUACUGUGUACCGGCAUCCAUGGGAACAUUUCACAGUCCUGAAGUGUGAGUCAGCUCCACUGUUGGAUCCCAGGGGACAAGCUCGUGUCAUCCUCAGAACCACAUGACAGCAAUGUGACCAUGAUCCUUCUCCUUGAGAAGAUAUAAGUAAGGCUUUGUGUUGUUACCUGCCAGAAGAACCAGAAAGCAACCAGGAGUGUUGUGUCUGACUGCAACAACUGUUCUCCAUCACUAAGGCCACGUGCAGCUGUGGGACAGGAUUCCAGCUCUAUGGAACAAGGAGCAAAAUUCCUGGGUCAAAGGAUACACAUAUACACAAGACUUUUGAUAUGCAGGGGGCCCACAACCAAGUCUUAUUUCCCAUUACCAAUUUCAGAACGUGUAGUUUAUAUCAGACUGCAGGACGGCAGAAUCUGGCAAGAGUAAAUGGCUUUACAAAAUAAACCAACCCUCUCCAGCCAGAAAUAUAGUCACAACGGCUUAGCCUCCAGCAGCAAGACUGUCGUUUCCUGAAAUGUGUUACAUAGUUGGAUACAUGACAUUGGUUUGACUCACAGAAGAUACAGGUUGAGAUAGAUAUUGCUUCGUUUCCAUCCUUCAAAGGCAAGAGAAUGAUGAUCUUCAAUUUAGCAGUGGCAUCAAGUGUGGCUUCUGUCAGCUCUUCAUACAUCCUUAUCAGAAAUCUCAGAUCACACUUUCUAAAUCUGGGGUAUAAAAUGGAUAUAUGGUUCUAUAAAAACCUGGAAGUCUUCAGCUAUCCUUUAGAGAGCAAAAAUAUUUACUGCCUCGGAAUUAUGAGUCUCUUGUUUGAAUUUGAUUUCUCUGUGUGAUCACUUCUCAUAUAAUAAAUACUAUAUUUUUAAACUUAGUUUACAAAAAGCUGCUUGAUGUGUAGCCUGAAGACUAAAUUCAAUGAGGUUUGUACCUAUCUUUUAAAGGUAAGAAUUCUAAUAGAAGAAUAUUUUUGGAACAACGGCAUGGUGGUUGAGGCAGCUGGAUCCCACAUGGCCAACUGUGUAGUUCAAGUGCUGUAGUUCAAGUGCUGGACCUGGUGGCUUGAAAAUCUUGCCAGGCACGUGGACAUAUGUGCCGAGUUCCAAAGGAAGAGAUGAAGUGGAAGGGAUUAC